AGUCCAUGGUGUGGGCAUUGUCUGAGUAUAUUAUUAAAUCUAUCUCAUGCUUCAAAUAAGGAUUCAAAGUCUGACUGUCUAAAGUUUGUUAUCAAAUUUCUUAUAUG